AGAAUUUUAAAUUCUAUUCUAGAAUUAACAGGAAGGAUACAGAAAAGAUUAGCAUGACCCCUGGUGCAAGGAUGACACGCAAAUUCAUGAAGUGUUCCAUAUUUUA